AUCGCUUCUCGGCCUAUUGGCUAAGAACAAGUGUAGUAUCUGUUAUCAGUUUAAUAUCCGAUACGUCCCCUAUCUGGGGACCAUAUAGUAAAUGGAUUUUUCAGAACGUGGGACGAUUUCGAAGCUUGCUUCCAUCGCCCCAUGCAUAGACCCGCUAUCAUGGUAUCUUCAGGUACAGUGCACCAAAA